rnacentral:miRNA from 1 species
UGACAUGAUUGGUGCAGUAUAC